rnacentral:lncRNA from 1 species
AAAAACAAGGUAUAUGACACCUACUCCUUUUCAGCCUGUCUUGAAACUGAACUGAUUGGAUAUUUGUUCUUGAUAUACACGCAAGCUGCUGUUGAACUCCUUGUUAUUGUCUGUGUGCUUAUAAGUACUUUUUAGUAAAAGUUCCAGAUUUUUUCUGUAUAUAGAAGCUAGGCCAAUUGCUCUAAAAUUUUCAUUUCUGUUUUGCUCUUCAUAAACAGAUGUGGGCCCACAAGAAAGAGGGUAUCUGAAUGUAUGCAUGACGUGAUACAGUGUAAUAGACCAAGAGUUUGGACUAGUGCUGGCUUUUGUCUGAUCUUCAUCAGCUGGAGUUGAGGGCUUGUGCCAGAGUGCAUCACGUACUGAAAGAUGACUGACUUUGUACUGGGGACACCAGGGAUGCUGCCGAAAGCAGGCAACAGAGCCACUGUGGCACUAUGGAUCAAACACAUCCGGAUUUACUUUUAUGCCUCUGAGGUAAACAGUUGCCUGCUGCACUACAUAAAUACUGAAAGAAAAACUCUCCUGGUAAAAGACCUGACCAGCAUGAACUGAGGGUAACUACAGGCAGCUGAGAAGAGCCUAGCUCAG